GUGCUCGGGCGAUCUCUAAAAUUAUUUGAUUUCUCCCUAAUCUGUGCCGGAUUCGAAUACCAAAAACAGUGUUUUGAUCCGGAUUAGUAGCUUUUAAUUAUACCCCACGUGGAAUAUUGGCCGAAGGCAAAUUUGUUACCUAAUUGAAUAUCGAUCGAUCGUAGCCUUUAAAUACUGUGCCCGCCAGCAACAAUAGCACCAACAGAGAGUUGCAUCGGUACUUAAGGAAAAACUGCUCAUGUAAGAUAGUUUAUUCGCCCAAUUUGCUAUGAUACUAAAUAAAAUGAAUUUUUCUAGUUUUAAGCUGCUAAUACAAAAAAGCUGCUUUAAAA